rnacentral:rRNA from 1 species
GACGAACGCUGGCGGCGUGCCUACACAUGCAAGUCGAGCGAAGUUUUCUGGUGCUUGCACUAGAAAAACUUAGCGGCGAACGGGUGAGUAACACGUAAAGAACCUGCCUCAUAGACGGGGACAACUAUUGGAAACGAUAGCUAAUACCGGAUAACAGCAUAAAUCGCAUGAUAUAUGUUUAAAAGUUGGUUUCGGCUAACACUAUGAGAUGGCUUUGCGGUGCAUUAGCUAGUUGGUGGGGUAAAGGCCUACCAAGGCGACGAUGCAUAGCCGACCUGAGAGGGUGAUCGGCCACACUGGGACUGAGACACGGCCCAGACUCCUACGGGAGGCAGCAGUAGGGAAUCUUCCGCAAUGGGCGAAAGCCUGACGGAGCAACGCCGCGUGAGUGAAGAAGGAUUUCGGUUCGUAAAGCUCUGUUGUUAGGGAAGAAUGAUUGUAUAGUAACUAUAUACAGUAGAGACGGUACCUAACCAGAAAGCCACGGCUAACUACGUGCCAGCAGCCGCGGUAAUACGUAGGUGGCAAGCGUUGUCCGGAAUUAUUGGGCGUAAAGCGCGCGCAGGUGGUUUAAUAAGUCUGAUGUGAAAGCCCACGGCUCAACCGUGGAGGGUCAUUGGAAACUGUUAAACUUGAGUGCAGGAGAGAAAAGUGGAAUUCCUAGUGUAGCGGUGAAAUGCGUAGAGAUUAGGAGGAACACCAGUGGCGAAGGCGGCUUUUUGGCCUGUAACUGACACUGAGGCGCGAAAGCGUGGGGAGCAAACAGG